UCCGAAUUGGUCCAGCGGUUAGGAUUCCUCGCUUUCACCGAGGCGGCCGGGGUUCGACUCCCCGAUUCGGAG